CAUCUCCUGACGACUGAAAACUUGUGAAUUAGUCGCGUGCCGACGUGAUACUGCACGAGUAGUUGAUUUGGACUAGUACGGUAUUAGCGGCCGAAGACCAGUACGAGCCGGUGAGGCUUUCAAACGUCAAAAGCCCCGCAGAUUUACAACGAUUUCGCUGGCAUCGUGGGUGGAACUAUAGGCGGAAAGAAUAUAUGGGGAUGAGCGAGACGGGUGCGGAUGCGAGGAGAUAAAUUAUUAUCUGCUAGACAUCUUCCAGGAAUCUCCAGAUGAAUGCGAGAAAGGUCCCCGGAAGAUGUGAUUGGUGAUCGGAAAUCUCGUGUAGAAAAUUCCUCGUCAGUUGAAGACCUUUACAAUCGCUCUAUCGAUGAAACUAUUAAUACAUUGAUUUCCGAUAGUUUCCAAUAGUCAAACAAUAAUCUUAUUUUGGAAGCUCACGAUUAGUCAACAUUUCGAUGAAACACCGGUGAAUUUUUUAUUUCCAAAUGUUUUCGAUUGCGUUCGUUAAUAAAUUUAUGUUAAUUUCUUCCGCUCUGAAAUGACGUGUCUAGAACAAUUUAUUCAAAUUAGUCAUGAAACCGUUCAAUCAAUACCGCCCAACCCCUUCCCUCGGUCCUUCGCCCUCAGAAGUCGGUAUUUGCUGGCGAUAGUGGAUAUCUCCCUGAAGAGGCUCGUGAUUAACCCACCCCUGUCUAUAACUCUCCAGUCGACAAUUCGAUAACUGAAAGAUGAUGAAGCAGAGAGGGAGGGAGCAGUGCUGCCACCGAC